GCUCCCUGAUGUUAGCGGCGGACGGGUGAGUAACACGUGGGUAACCUGCCUGUAAGACUGGGAUAACUCCGGGAAACCGGGGCUAAUACCGGAUGCUUGUUUGAACCGCAUGGUUCAGACAUAAAAGGUGGCUUCGGCUACCACUUACAGAUGGACCCGCGGCGCAUUAGCUAGUUGGUGAGGUAACGGCUCACCAAGGCGACGAUGCGUAGCCGACCUGAGAGGGUGAUCGGCCACACUGGGACUGAGACACGGCCCAGACUCCUACGGGAGGCAGCAGUAGGGAAUCUUCCGCAAUGGACGAAAGUCUGACGGAGCAACGCCGCGUGAGUGAUGAAGGUUUUCGGAUCGUAAAGCUCUGUUGUUAGGGAAGAACAAGUGCCGUUCAAAUAGGGCGGCACCUUGACGGUACCUAACCAGAAAGCCACGGCUAACUACGUGCCAGCAGCCGCGGUAAUACGUAGGUGGCAAGCGUUGUCCGGAAUUAUUGGGCGUAAAGGGCUCGCAGGCGGUUUCUUAAGUCUGAUGUGAAAGCCCCCGGCUCAACCGGGGAGGGUCAUUGGAAACUGGGGAACUUGAGUGCAGAAGAGGAGAGUGGAAUUCCACGUGUAGCGGUGAAAUGCGUAGAGAUGUGGAGGAACACCAGUGGCGAAGGCGACUCUCUGGUCUGUAACUGACGCUGAGGAGCGAAAGCGUGGGGAGCGAACAGGAUUAGAUACCCUGGUAGUCCACGCCGUAAACGAUGAGUGCUAAGUGUUAGGGGGUUUCCGCCCCUUAGUGCUGCAGCUAACGCAUUAAGCACUCCGCCUGGGGAGUACGGUCGCAAGACUGAAACUCAAAGGAAUUGACGGGGGCCCGCACAAGCGGUGGAGCAUGU
rnacentral:rRNA from 1 species